rnacentral:rRNA from 1 species
AGCGAACGCUGGCGGCAGGCUUAACACAUGCAAGUCGAGCGGGCACUUCGGUGUCAGCGGCAGACGGGUGAGUAACACGUGGGAACGCACCCUUUGGUUCGGAAUAACGCUGGGAAACUAGCGCUAAUACCGGAUACGCCCUUUUGGGGAAAGGCUUGCUGCCGAAGGAUCGGCCCGCGUCUGAUUAGCUAGUUGGUGGGGUAAUGGCCUACCAAGGCGACGAUCAGUAGCUGGUCUGAGAGGAUGAUCAGCCACACUGGGACUGAGACACGGCCCAGACUCCUACGGGAGGCAGCAGUGGGGAAUAUUGGACAAUGGGCGCAAGCCUGAUCCAGCCAUGCCGCGUGAGUGAUGAAGGCCUUAGGGUUGUAAAGCUCUUUUGUCCGGGACGAUAAUGACGGUACCGGAAGAAUAAGCCCCGGCUAACUUCGUG